GAAAAAUGCUCUCCAGGGUAAACCGGGUGGACAAAGUAUUUUGAAUGACUGUGAUGGUGACAUACACACAGGCUGGGAAAACCAGGCAUUCUUCUGUUGGUUCAUGUGCUUCGUCCUACAUCCAAAGGCCACAAGAAGAAUCCAAAACAGCUCAUGUCAAACUGUGGACCAUGUUUUCAGAUAUGUGCAGAUGCAAGCCAGUGUUGAAGCCUUCUCCUCAUUGCCGUGGAACCAGGACAGCCCUUCCUCCUGCAUGUUGGUGAAAACAAGAGCAGCACCAAAGACACUUCACCAUCAGUGAUCACAAGACCAUCCAUGGCUGCUUCCAAUUAACUUUCAAAGCACACUUCACCUUCAGUGCAAAUUACCAUGAAUUCCUCUAUA